rnacentral:tRNA from 6 species
UGCGACGUAGAGGAGAGGUCGUCCUCGUCGGGCUCAUAUCCCGGAAAUCGGUGGUUCGAAUCCAUCCGUCGCAU